rnacentral:misc_RNA from 1 species
GGUGAUCGGCGUGUGAGGGUAUGUUGGAUCCCUGUUUGUGCAGCGACAAUGUCCCCGUCCAUGCCUCUUCAUUGUUUGAUUCAAGUGCUUAAUUGCCUUGGUCGCCUCGGGUUGCCUGUGUUGUGUACCAAUCUUGAAGGCAUUGGUUUGGCUAAAAACGUCCCGUCUCCUCGUAGUGCUGCUUACCACGUGUUUGUGGCACGAGGGGGAACCAAAAAGCAGUCGACGUGUAUCCACUUCUUUUUCGUGCGUGCAUGAAGGGAAUUUGGCCCAUGUCGGCUCGCUCGAUCUCUCGGUUGCGGUGCAUAAUUCGGGUAUGAGGCCCCCGAGCCUCUAUUCUGCCCAUACAACAAGCGUUCUACGCUUCAUGCGAACGACACUCGUCACCGUUUUGGUCGGGUCCUCGUGGCUUCGAUUCAUGCGGUGCGGCGUCGAUGAAGGAAUGCUACCUGG